AAUAUUGCACAAUGGGCGAAAGCCUGAUGCAGCAACGCCGCGUGAGGGAUGACGGCCUUCGGGUGGUAAACCUCUCUUAGUGGGGAAGAAGCGAAAGUGACGGUACCUGCAGAAAAAGCACCGGCUAACUACGGUCCAGGAGCCGCGGUAAUACGUAGGGGGCAAGCGUUGUCCGGAAUUAUUGGGCGUCAAGUGCUCGUAGGAGGCUUGUCGCGUCUGCCGUGAAAACCCAGGGCUCAACCCUGGGCGUGCGGUGGGUAAGGGCAGGCUAGAAUGCGGUAGGGGAGAUUGGAAUUCCUGGUGUAGCGGUGGAAUGCGCAGAUAUCAGGAGGAACACCGAUGGCGAAGGCAGAUCUCUGGGCCGUAACUGACGCUGAGGAGCGAAAGCAUGGGGAGCGAACA
rnacentral:rRNA from 1 species